ensembl:lncRNA
ACUCUGGCUUAAGCUUUUUCAGGGCUUGGUGUUCCGAACACACAGUGAGCUCACAGUUUAAAGACAUCAAUUAGGAGUUGACAGGUAUGGAAAACUAGAGUUGUGUAAAGGUAAAUUAGGCUUUAGGUUAUAUAUAUGGUUUUUAAAAACUCUGUAGUGUUUAUUUGGCCAUAGUGAAGUGCGAGGGACUUGUGAAGCACAAUAGAAAGCACUUGGUCGUCUUAGAGUUAAUGUGUACAGAAGUAACCAUUGUAGCCUGAUGCACUAGUCAUAACAGGUAAAUAAACAUGACCAGGUGAAGGCCGACCAUAGAUCUAAAGCAUACACAUUAUAGAUCUGAGCAUGAAAGGAAUGUUUCUGAAGCACAGCAUGGUUAACCAGAAUAGUUAGCCAGGGUCGUAAAACAAAGUUAGUGGUAGAGGAGAAGCAUAGGUGUACAAUUUGACAGUCUUUCAUAGUUAUCUCUUCCCUCUGUCUGUCCCUGUCUACACACGGUCUCCUCCCUUCUGUUCUUCCUAAGAUCUUCACUCUGAACACUAGUCCUUGUAUUUACAUUUGGGGCAGAGGAUUUCAGAGCCAUUAGCCAGCACCUUUUUAUCUGCUAUCUUAUAAUGUCCUAUAACAUAUAGCAAAACACUAGUUAGUGAAUAAGAAACCGUAGCCCUUGGUACUUUCUACACCUAAAUAGAGGCAUGUAAUAAAUUAUCAUUAGCCUAUUCUGUGCUUCAGUUGACACAGGAGACAGGGACAUCCUCUAGCAUCUUAAGAUAAUUAUCUAUUGAACUGAACUGAAAUUUACUUGUCCAGGAAUCCCAGCUGCACUCCUGCAGGGCUGUAUGAAGUGUUCUGAGAAGGAGUCGGGAGACUCUUGUUCUCUGGAUGAGAAUGGCCACCAUUACAAUGUUUGCAUAGCGUAGGGUGUGCAGAGUUUAUUUAAACAACCUCCAUUCUGCUGCCCCAUUAAAUACUGCUGACUUGUAAGGAAUCUUGCUUUAGAGUUUAAUGCACUCAAAGUUACGAGGUGGACCUUAUAUAGUAUGUUUACCUGGCUGCUAUUUGGGGUUUGGGGAACAUGAGGGGUGGGGUGAACUGUUGUUGUUUUAGGUUUCAGUCAGACAGACAUCCCUGCGCCUCAGUUCCCAGAAGCACAGCAGGCCUCUAGGAGCAUCCGUGGGAAAGGCGCAGUCCUGGCAUCACCAGCUUCUCCUCCUCAGGCUCAUCCCAUAUGCAGAGGUCAAAAGGGUGGGGCUUGAGAUGGGGGAAGGAACGAGAACAUAGACGCUAUGUCAUUGCAGUGCUGCUGUCGACCAGCUUUUGGUGCUUCUGUCAGUGUGUGUUUGCUUGUUUUAAGUUGGCAAGUCUGUACAUACAUUAUUCGGGAGGGUGGAAAACAAGCCAUUAUCACUGCUAGUCAGUCUUGGGAAUCAGUACGUAACGUCAAAUUUCAAAUGUGGACUCCAGUGACAAAGAAUGGGAAUAGCAGUGAAUAUUAGAUUUUUAAAGGCAGAAGACAUCAUCCACUCAGCUCUCUUAGAACCAUGUUUUGCCAUUCUUUUCCCUCCCCUGAAUUUUUCUGUGUUUGUAAAUAGUUUAAGGAAAAUACAUUCAUGGUCAGCCCUUUCUAAGAGACUUAUUGAAUAUUAACUCUUAUGCAAAAAAAAUAUAUAUAUAUUAUAUAUACCGAGUCUUAUGGGCAUACAAAUGCUACCCUAUUUUAAAUGUAGGUGGCGUAUGUGUUCGUGUUUUAAUGUAUCAGAGCCAUUGGGCAAUAAGCAGUCCAGAACAUUGAAAUCUCAAGCAGCAGAGAGAUAAACUGGUAGGUGGCAGCAGAGAAAGGAAUUCCUCAGACUGAUGGCUGUUGACUGAGAAGAGAUAGCAUGAGACUACCGAGUGGUGGAGGAGCAGCAGAGAUGAAGGCUGGACUCAGGAAGGCUGCCUCUUUACUGAAUGGUUCUCUCCAAGUAACCAGUGAUCUCCUGGAGAAGACAGAACUCGUCACUUUAGAGUGGAGCGAGGAUACGGAAUAAGAAAGAAGUUGUUCUUUGUGUCCUGUUGCAUUCAGUGUGGGUUUUCUUUGUGUAAAUUAAAACACUGAAUGGGGAUACAUAAAUCGGAGUGUGAUUUGUUGUUGUCAGCAGCUGCUGUUUGUGCCCACUCUGUCUCACGUGCUAGUCCAGGAGACAGAUCAGCCCAGGUCCUUCCUUCUUCCCCAGUUGUCUUUGCAGUGAGGUGAGGGCUCCUUUCAGCACAUAGGCAGGCAGUCAUGUUGGAUGGUCCCCCAUGAGUGCUCAUACUGAGUAGUUGUUGCCAUGGUAAUCACUGAAGAACUUGAAGAAGAACACUCCUAUUGCUCAGAUUCACAUCUAACAAUGGUUACCUUUGGACACAUCUGUCUCCAUAAUAUAUUUAUUUCAAAAGAAAGUGAACAAACUUAGCUUGUUGGAUGGAUAUAUAAGGAUUACCUAUGAUACAGUAUCACCCAUUGUUGAAUAUUAACACUGCCAGCCUUACACAUUGAGUUAUUGAUAGCUUAUUCAGAACUAUUGAAUUAUUUAAUUGGCUGAAAACAUGGGAUGUUGCCCAUGUUGGUAAACACUCUACUGAAAUAAAUGUGUUCC